UUCCUAAGAUUACAUUGUAGAACAAUCAACACGAUGAAGCUCUUAUCAAUUGUGUCUGCCUUUGUGCUUUGCCUUUUGGCUCUGGCCAGUGCCGUUCCCCUCUUGCCCAACCAUGACAUUAUCAUCAACGGACCCUGCAAAGAUUGUAAAUUUAAAAACAAAGCAUCAAGUUUAGAGGAGUACUAGCAAAUAUUGUAAUAUUUUAUAAAAUUCAGAUAUAAGAUUAUAAUAAAGAUUUUGUGGUUUGUAGUUUUGUUAAAAAUACUCAUAGAUUUUUUUUCUCGAAUAAAGUUUAAAAAUGUCACCAGGUGUGGCAACCAAAGA